CCUACGGGUGGCAGCAGUGGGGAAUAUUGGACAAUGGGGGGAACCCUGAUCCAGCCAUGCCGCGUGUGUGAAGAAGGCCCUCGGGUUGGAAAGCACUUUCAGUGAGGAAGAACGCCUGGUGGUUAAUACCCAUCAGGAAAGACAUCACUCACAGAAGAAGCACCGGCUAACUCCGUGCCAGCAGCCGCGGUAAUACGGAGGGUGCGAGCGUUAAUCGGAAUUACUGGGCGUAAAGCGCGCGUAGGUGGCUUGAUAAGCCGGUUGUGAAAGCCCCGGGCUCAACCUGGGAACGGCAUCCGGAACUGUCAAGCUAGAGUGCAGGCGAGGUAGGUAGAAUUCCCGGUGUAGCGGUGAAAUGCGUAGAGAUCGGGAGGAAUACCAGUGGCGAAGGCGGCCUUCUGGACUGACACUGACACUGAGGUGCGAAAGCGUGGGUAGCAAACAGGAUUAGAUACCCCUGUAGUC
rnacentral:rRNA from 1 species